rnacentral:snoRNA from 2 species
AGCCUCCCAAAGCACUGGGAGUGUGAUGACUAGGUUUUCACGUGUGAGAUAUGCCUCACUCACACCUUGUUACAACACUGGCACAUUGCCUGUCGGAUG